UACAGAGGUCCCAAGCGUUGUUCGGAUUCAUUGGGCGUAAAGGGUGCGUAGGCGGCGGGGCAAGUCAGGUGUGAAAUCUCGGGGCUCAACCCCGAAACUGCACUUGAUACUGCCUUGCUCGAGUACUGGAGAGGAGACUGGAAUUUACGGUGUAGCAGUGAAAUGCGUAGAUAUCGUAAGGAAGACCAGUGGCGAAGGCGAGUCUCUGGACAGUUACUGACGCUGAGGCACGAAGGCCAGGGGAGCAAACGGG
rnacentral:rRNA from 1 species